rnacentral:sRNA from 1 species
AAUAUGUGGCUAAAAAAACUUGUCUGAUUGCUUCUGACCAUGUAAACUUGUCUGAUUACUUGUGUGGUCUUUGUUCCUCAACUUGUCUGAUUGCUAAAUAUGUGGUAUGAGAGUCGUAUGCGUUUUUCAUCUACUUCAAUAAACUCCCUACAAAAAAAACAUAAAGACACAAAGCAUAAAUCCUACAUAAAGAUACACUUCAACUUGUUAGAAUAAUACAAUAUCAUGCAUAACAUAAAGUCAUCAUACAUUAAGACAGAACACAAAGCAUAAAGUCAUCAUACCAAAAAAACAGAACAAAAAGUUAUCAUACCUAAAAGCAUAACAUAAUACAAUUUCUUGAGCUUGUCAAGACUGAAAAUACAUGUCCCUAAUGAGCUUGUUUCUUAGCUCAACUUCUACUUCACUAAAAGUGUUUGAUCUUGCUACAAGAAUGUCAAGCAAUUUCUUAUCACAUAACUUUUCUUUAAAUGUCAAAUCUUGUUUCUUUAUGUCCCACAUACUCUAGAACCUUUCUAAAGCCUUCCCUUCUACUUCAAUAGUUGGUGAAUUGUUGGGAGCUUUCGUUUUACCCUUAGCAGCCUUCACACCAGGGGGACGAGGUUGGGAAGCUUCUUCCGCUUUAGCCUCAACAAGAUUACAGGUUGCCAAAUGUGGAGAGCCAUCAAUAGCCUUUCUUUUUUACUCCUAACAAUCUCUUUAAUAUCUAACUUCUCUCCAACAAUGCUCCAAAGUAAACUUCGUCUUGUAAUCAUGUUCAAAAAUUUGAUUUGCUAGCUUCAUCAAAUCGUCAUCAUUCUGCACACUUGCCAUUUGAGUUGUUGCAACUUGAUGGGAUCCAUAAACUUGUAGAAUGGUUUGAGUGAUUUAAAAAGUAGAAUGAAAGAGAUGUGGGUUGUGUUAAAUUUAAGUCUUAAGAUGCAGUUAUAUAAAGAAAGGUGUAAGUAUGGUUUUGUAAUGAGUUUAAUU